rnacentral:tRNA from 1 species
GGCAAUGUAACUCAGUGGUAGAGUCCUUGCCUAAUAUGUGCAAGGCUCUGGGUUCAAUGCCUAGCACUGCAA